rnacentral:lncRNA from 1 species
AAUGAGAGAAUUGGACAAGACAGACUUCAGUCACAGACACCCCAAGCAGACCAGGAUCCUUCCUAAGAGGAACACAAUUCCCCUCAUGGGUUGGGGUUUGGAUGUUUGGUUCAGGAAGAGCCUAGGACCUGGCUGCGGUCACCCAGGGCGCCCAGCACUCGACCCGAGAACAUUUCUGAAAGUAGCACUGCAGUUCCUCGAUAACUGAGCAGACUCCAAGGAGACAAGGAGAAAACAGAAAAGGCGUGGGCCACCACACCCAGCCACAGAGGCUACUUUCUGCCCACCUCUCCCGGGCUGGGCUCUCUAACCUUGCACUUCUGCUCAUGAAGACUAAGGGUUGCCAAUGUAACAAUGGCAGACACUGGCGGGUCCCAGUAGGUCUGCUUCUGCUUCAUGGGGGUAGCCGUGGAUAGCACAGUGGGCAGCCCUGGAAACAAAAUCCCCUUUGACAUCCAAAAUGAAGCUUACCUAGAGCAGUGUCCGGUCCAUGAAAUACAAGUAAUAUUGUUGGAAGGCAGCAGGCACCAGACAUCCAUUUGUGUGGGGGAAAACGUAUCACAAAAGCGUUUCCUGGUCCAGAAAGUAAACCAUUGAACUUGAUCCGAC